rnacentral:rRNA from 1 species
ACUCCUACGGGAGGCAGCAGUGGGGAAUAUUGCACAAUGGAGGAAACUCUGAUGCAGCAACGCCGCGUGGAGGAUGACACUUUCGGAGCGUAAACUCCUUUAUAUAGGAAGAUAAUGACGGUACUAUAUGAAUAAGCACCGGCUAACUCCGUGCCAGCAGCCGCGGUAAUACGGAGGUGCAAGCGUUACUCGGAAUCACGUGGGCGUAAAGAGCGUGUAGGCGGGUUAUUAAGUCAGAAGUGAAAUCCUAUGGCUCAACCAUAGAACUGCUUUUGAAACUGGUAACCUAGAGUAUGGGAGAGGUAGAUGGAAUUUCUGGUGUAGGGUAAAAUCCGUAGAGAUCAGAAGGAAUACCGAUUGCGAAGGCGAUCUACUGGAACAUUACUGACGCUGAGACGCGAAAGCGUGGGGAGCGAAACAGGAUUAGAUACCCGUGGUAGACUGUCA